UACGUAGGGGGCGAGCGUUGUCCGGAAUCAUUGGGCGUAAAGCGCGUGUAGGCGGCUUGAUAAGUCUGGUGUGAAAUCUUGGGGCUCAACCCCAAGCCUGCACUGGAUACUGUCAAGCUUGAGUUCGGUAGGGGAGUGGGGAAUUCCUAGUGUAGCGGUGAAAUGCGCAGAUAUCAGGAGGAACACCGGUGGCGAAGGCGGGUCUCUGGGCCGAUACUGACGCUGAGGAGCGAAAGCGUGGGGAGCGAACAGG
rnacentral:rRNA from 1 species